rnacentral:rRNA from 2 species
UAGGGAAUCUUCCGCAAUGGACGAAAGUCUGACGGAGCAACGCCGCGUGAGCGAAGAAGGCCUUCGGGUCGUAAAGCUCUGUUGUUAGGGAAGAACAAGUACGAGAGUAACUGCUCGUACCUUGACGGUACCUAACCAGAAAGCCACGGCUAACUACGUG